rnacentral:hammerhead_ribozyme from 1 species
AUCCAGCUGACGAGUCCCAAAUUGUACAAAACGCGCGUCCAACUGGAU